AGAGACAAACCCCAGGAGAGCCUGAGGUCCUCCAGAGGGAUAUUAGUGAGUGGCUUGUCUGAGCAAAAGCCAUUUCUACUCACCCCACAGUCGUUAGCUCCAUCUCCACACAUGCCCACAUAAUAACUGCGGGAGACAGGAGAAGAAGGAUUAAUAGGUCCAGUCUCUUGGUUCUCCACCAGCUGCCAGGUCACAGAGGCAGGAACAAAUUCUUCUGGUUCAUCGGCCUCAACAAUGAUCACUUGGCUGCCUGGAGGGAUCAUUUCAGAAUUCUUUGCAACAGUAAUGGCCGUUUGAAGGUUAUCACCUAGAAGACAAAGAAACUUUGCUUGCUGUAUGUACAAACCUCCCCUCAGCAACAAGAACUGAGGUCUCCCUUUUCCACUCUGCUUGGUGUUCUUUGAGAGCAUUUACCGCUUUCUGCCUUAUUUUAUCUUCCUCUCUGCUGUAGACUGCCCCUACUGGGCAAACACUAU
rnacentral:lncRNA from 1 species